rnacentral:rRNA from 1 species
AGCUCUAAUAGCGUAUAUUAAAGUUGUUGCGGUUAAAAAGCUCGUAGUUGGAUCUCGGGAGGGCAUGUACGGUCCGGUGCAAACCGCGAACAUGUACACACCUUCCUUCCGUCUGGAGGCGCAACCCGAGCGGCUUAACUGUCGCCCGGGCACGAAUCCAGGACCUUUACUUUGAACAAAUUAGAGUGUUUAAAGCAGGCAUUUUCGCCCGAAUACAUUAGCAUGGAAUGACAAUAUAGGACUUUUGUUCUACUUUGUUGGUUCAAGAACGAAAGUAAUGAUUAAUAGGGACGGUUGGGGGCAUUCGUAUUCCACUGUCAGAGGUGAAAUUCUUAGAUUUGUGGAAGACGAACUUCUGCGAAAGCAUUUGCCAAGGAUGUUUUCAUUG